rnacentral:lncRNA from 1 species
UGGAAGAGGCCCAAUUAAAUUCAAAAAGCUGGUAUUGUGUUCUCAAUUGUGCCAACAUGGUGCUAGGCACUGGGGAUACCAAACUAAGUAAGAAUACAGCUUAAACAAAUAAUGACAUAAUAAGCGGCAGAUGUGAUAUUGUACGACAUUUGAGGAUAAGACAUAUGAGGCCUUGAAGCUUCCAUUUUCUCCCUCUUGGAAUUCCCAUCACUAUGUAAGGAAGCCUGAGAGAGACUACCACAUGAUGAAAACCAUGUAGAGAGAGUCAAGCUGCC